rnacentral:misc_RNA from 1 species
GUUUGACUAGAAGAAAGAGUAUGGUGCGGAUGGAAGCUGUCUAAUUAAUAGGGAAAAAAGCAAAGGCAAAGCAAAACAAUGGUGCGUUGAUAGCAGGGUUUUUAGUAGGGCUAUCAAAAACCAUUGUGAUUACAAAUGAAUGAGUGCUUUGGUUCAACAAGUAAGAGUUUUUAGUUUUUAAUGUAUUUGGAAAAAGAAAAAAAAAAGGGUG